GGGUGAGUAACACGUGGGCAAUCUGCCCUUCACUCUGGGACAAGCCCUGGAAACGGGGUCUAAUACCGGAUAUGACACACGACCGCAUGGUCUGUGUGUGGAAAGCUCCGGCGGUGAAGGAUGAGCCCGCGGCCUAUCAGCUUGUUGGUGGGGUGAUGGCCUACCAAGGCGACGACGGGUAGCCGGCCUGAGAGGGCGACCGGCCACACUGGGACUGAGACACGGCCCAGACUCAUACGGGAGGCAGCAGUGGGGAAUAUUGCACAAUGGGCGAAAGCCUGAUGCAGCGACGCCGCGUGAGGGAUGACGGCCUUCGGGUUGUAAACCUCUUUCAGCAGGGAAGAAGCGAAAGUGACGGUACCUGCAGAAGAAGCGCCGGCUAACUACGUGCCAGCAGCCGCGGUAAUACGUAGGGCGCAAGCGUUGUCCGGAAUUAUUGGGCGUAAAGAGCUCGUAGGCGGCUUGUCACGUCGGAUGUGAAAGCCCGGGGCUUAACCCCGGGUCUGCAUUCGAUACGGGCAGGCUAGAGUUCGGUAGGGGAGAUCGGAAUUCCUGGUGUAGCGGUGAAAUGCGCAGAUAUCAGGAGGAACACCGGUGGCGAAGGCGGAUCUCUGGGCCGAUACUGACGCUGAGGAGCGAAAGCGUGGGGA
rnacentral:rRNA from 1 species